UACAGAGGUGGCAAGCGUUGUCCGGAAUUAUUGGGCGUAAAGAGCUCGUAGGCGGUUCGUCGCGUCGGCUGUGAAAACCCGGAGCUCAACUCCGGGCCUGCAGUCGAUACGGGCGGACUUGAGUGUUGCAGGGGAGACUGGAAUUCCUGGUGUAGCGGUGAAAUGCGCAGAUAUCAGGAGGAACACCGGUGGCGAAGGCGGGUCUCUGGGCAACUACUGACGCUGAGGAGCGAAAGCGUGGGGAGCGAACAGG
rnacentral:rRNA from 1 species